UACGUAGGGACCGAGCGUUGUCCGGAAUCAUUGGGCGUAAAGAGCGUGUAGGCGGCCACUUAAGUCCUGCGUGAAAUCUUGCGGCUCAACCGCAAGCGGUCGUGGGAAACUGGGUGGCUAGAGUGCGGGAGAGGAGAGUGGAAUUCCUGGUGUAGCGGUGGAAUGCGCAGAUAUCAGGAGGAACACCAAUGGCGAAGGCAGCUCGCUGGGACGGUACUGACACUGAGACGCGAAAGCGUGGGGAGCAAACAGG
rnacentral:rRNA from 1 species